rnacentral:rRNA from 1 species
CCAGACUCCUACGGGAGGCAGCAGUGGGGAAUAUUGGACAAUGGGGGGAACCCUGAUCCAGCGACGCCGCGUGAGUGAAGAAGUAUUUCGGUAUGUAAAGCUCUAUCAGCAGGGAAGAAAGAAAUGACGGUACCUGACUAAGAAGCCCCGGCUAACUACGUGCCAGCAGCCGCGGUAAUACGUAGGGGGCAAGCGUUAUCCGGAUUUACUGGGUGUAAAGGGGGCGCAGACGGCGAUGCAAGCCAGGAGUGAAAGCCCGGGGCCCAACCCCGGGACUGCUCUUGGAACUGCGUGGCUGGAGUGCGGGAGGGGCAGGCGGAAUUCCUAGUGUAGCGGUGAAAUGCGUAGAUAUUAGGAGGAACACCAGUGGCGAAGGCGGCUUACUGGACUGUAACUGACGUUGAGGCUCGAAAGCGUGGGGAGCAAACAGGAUUAGAUACCCGCGUAU